rnacentral:lncRNA from 1 species
AUGGGGCAUCGUGCGAAGCCUCCUCGGAACCAGGCGGGGAGGAAGGAGCCGGAGGAAGCGCUGGAAAAGCUCCUCCUUCCUCUGGCUGCUGCUGCGGCUCCGCUCCCAAGCGCAACAGGCGGAAACAGCGCGCAGGAUCCCGCGGCGCUGCCCGGGCACGAUCCGUGGGGAGCGGAGGGAAGGGAAGGGAAGGAAAGGAAAGGCCCCGCCGCCCUCAUUCCCAGAGCCCGGGGUGUGACCGAGGGAGGAAGAGGAGGAGGAAGGAGGACGUGCUGGCGUGCCCAGAAAGUUCAAGCUGUUCCCAGCUGCGGAGCCGCUGCCCAGGGGGAUGCACGCCCUGGGAUCGCUCGGGGUGCCUGGGUGCUCCCAGAGCUCGGGAAGCUCGGCUCGGUUCAGCUUGGCUCGGUUUGGGGCAGCCAGCGUGGAAAGGACUCCAGGAGGCUUUUCCUGGGCUGGCCUUGUUUACCCGGCAGCAGUGGGAGGGAGCGAGGGUUGGAAGUGGCCGGGCUGGGAGCGAGGCAUCCUGUUUAUCCUCCUGAAAUAGCUGCCCUUGGCGGGGCUGGGCAGGGGGCGGCAGGAUGGGCACAGCCCCUGUUCCCCGCCCUGCAGCGAUGCCACCACCCCGGCGACACCAGCGAGUCCUCGCCGUGCCAGGGCAAUGCCACCCUGGAGCCCAAAUCCUCCUUUUGGGCGCACUAUGCCCGUGCCAAGCUCUGCUCAACUCCCCACAUGGCCAAAAAACAUCGGCACAUCGAGUGGCACCCAGAUGCCACCUGCAUUUGUCCCAGCUCCCUCUCCCCCCAGGGAUGCCCACAGUGCAGCAGCCUUUUCCACCCUAACAGUGUUCUCACCCCUCCGACUCAUUUCAAUAGGAAAAUAAUUCCAAAGCUUUAAUAUUUCCCUUUUUAUAUCCUCUUAUAUCCUUUUCCCCCCCUGAGAUGCCCCAUAAGAAGGUUUUACCCUCAGCACGAGGCUUGUUUGCUGUUUGUUUGCCAGGCCAGAAUGCUGCUGGUAUCAAGGGACUCUCGUGGAAAAUUUAUCUGCAGCAAAAUCUCAUUUCCAAUAGAAAAUUGUUCCAUUGGAGGCUUUUAAAUACUUUCCCCAGUGCUGAUCCCCGAGGAGUCUGGCUGGGAAUUAAUUUGAAAUUCUGUCUUAGUGGGGUGAUGGUAUUUAAGAGGCGAUGAAAAUGCAUCCACCCACUUCAAAUUGAAAAAUAAAUGGGAAUAUCUAUCCA